GGGGGAAUCAGUGAACUUUUAUUGAGACAGAGACAACCUCUCAAACAGCUCACAUCAGGAGAUUCCUAAUAUUUGCUGUGAGGAUGGGUAUAUAUUCUCUAAAACUUACAGGAGGGGGUUGUGAGGACAGUGCUGCAUUAGCAGAAAAACAACUCCAUAAAAGGAAAGCGGCCUUGGGUGUUCUAGUCUCUUCGCUUGCAGAUAUCUUGCACCUGCAGAAUGAGGCGAUCGCUUCUUAUCGCUCUCAAGGCCAAAGUCGUGAGCGCAUAUUUUUAUUACACAGUUGCACAGUAACUUUAAAGCUGAACAAUAUUUAAAGCUGAAUAAUGUUUGAUCAAAUUAUAUUUUCUUCAAAUCCCCCUUUUGACCCAUCUUAAAUGGGUCAACACACAAAAAUAAGUAACAUUCAAAGGAACACAGAGACGUGUCGAAGCCUGGCUCGAAAAACUCCUCGGGUCUUAUCAUUUGUCUUUAUCUGUCAUUGCAGAUGAGGAGAAAAGAGUCCAGGCACCACCCUGCCCAGGGGUCGGCUGCAAGCAGUCUCGGUUCCCGAUGAAAGCAGUAACAGCUGUCCUGCACACAAGGGUACAACGAGUUAGUGCAACCAGGGUAGUGACACAAAAUUAACAGUUCCUGUAACUCAGCAACCAAAAAGCAUAAGUAAUGAUAAAAAUGUGGAGAGUACAGAGUAUACUAUAAUAAUGAGAGAUAUAAACGUGAAAAUGUGAAAGAAUAAAUCAACCGUAAAAUAAACUCAGAACGGUAACUGCUAAGGACAUUCAAAAGUGAAUAUGGUAAAACUGGAGAGGAAGUGGUGGGCAAGACCCUAGGGGCUACAUUUGUCAGAUUGGGACUGUCAGAAGGGGGCGAAGCUUUUGAACUUGAAGGUGUCAGAAGUGUCGGGGGCCCUUCACAGAUCAGGAUUAUGCCAAUGGGAAUGAGACCCAGGGCCAGGAAGCAAACAAAGACGCAACAUCUUUGCCUGCCUGUCAUUUCAGGGGGAAAGGGCCAAGACAUGUUUACUUAGCUUGGAUGUCGUCUAAUAGAGGAUGAUGGGGCACAGAAAGGUGGUCCAGUUCCCCCCACCUCGCCAAGGGCGUGUUCUAGGAGUUAAAAAGCAACAACCUGAGAGAGAGAGAGAGAGAGAGAGAGAGAGAGAGAGAGAGAGAGAGAGAGAGAGAGAGAGAGAGAGAGAGAGAGAGAGAGAGAGAGCCCCUAAUGGCCAGUUAGUGGGCUCUAGGUCAAACUGUCCCCAAAUUUGUUAUUUGUUAUUAUUACUUGUUUUCAUGUCACUUGUCUGUUUUCUACUGCACCCCUCUCACCAAAGCAAAGCAAACAUUAGCAGCACAUUGACCGUAGUCAGGCAUCCUCAUUCCAUAGGUGCUAUAAAACAUUUCCUGUAAAUACAGUGUAAUAGCAUCCCCAACUCCUAACCCAUAAACACCGUUUCUUCACACAUCCGCCCAGAAAUCCUGUAAUAGAAAAACAUUAAAACUGUAACCCUGUAGGGAAGAAAAUGUAAAUGGUAACGCUGCGCAGUUACCUCUGUAAGCAACACAAGACACAAAAAUGGCAUUUACAGGUUCACUCAUCCUCGAAUAUUUUGUCAUCCUUCUACUCCUGUAAAAGAAACCCAC
ensembl:lncRNA